rnacentral:tRNA from 1 species
UGGCUGAGCGGUAAAGCACUUGGCUUCCAAACCAGGGGGCCUGGGUUCGAAUCCUGG